UCCGCCUACGACCGGCGCACGGGUGCGUAACGCGUAUACAAUCUACCUUGUACUGGGGUAUAGCCUUUAGAAAUGAAGAUUAAUCCCCCAUAGUCUCUUAGAGUGGCAUCACUUCUAGAGUAAAGGCUACGGUAUAAGAUGAGUAUGCGUUCUAUUAGUUUGUUGGUGUGGUAACGGCACACCAAGACUACGAUAGAUAGGGGCCCUGAGAGGGGGAUCCCCCACACUGGUACUGAGACACGGACCAGACUCCUACGGGAGGCAGCAGUGAGGAAUAUUGGACAAUGGAGGCAACUCUGAUCCAGCCAUGCCGCGUGCAGGAAGACUGCCCUAUGGGUUGUAAACUGCUUUUAUACAGGAAGAAACACCU
rnacentral:rRNA from 1 species